UACGAGGGGGGCGAGCGUUGUUCGGAAUUAUUGGGCGUAAAGGGUGCGUAGGCGGUUUGGUAAGUCUUGUGUGAAAUCUACAGGCUCAACUUGUAGUCUGCACGAGAAACUGCCGGGCUUGAGUGUGGGAGAGGUGAGUGGAAUUCCUGGUGUAGCGGUGAAAUGCGUAGAUAUCAGGAGGAACACCAGUGGCGAAGGCGGCCCUCUGGGCCGGGCCUGACGCUGAGACGCGAGGGCGUGGGGAGCGAACGGG
rnacentral:rRNA from 1 species